rnacentral:rRNA from 1 species
AGAAUCAACGCUGGCGGCGUGCCUAACACAUGCAAGUCGCACGAGAAAGGGACUUCGGUCCUGAGUAAAGUGGCGCACGGGUGAGUAACACGUGAAUCAUCUACCUCCGAGUGGGGAAUAACCUAGAGAAAUCUGGGCUAAUACCGCAUAACACUUACGAGUCAAAGCAGCAAUGCGCUUGGAGAGGAGUUCGCGGCAGAUUAGUUAGUUGGCGGGGUAAUGGCCCACCAAGACGAUGAUCUGUAUCCGGCCUGAGAGGGCGCACGGACACACUGGAACUGAAACACGGUCCAGACUCCUACGGAGGCAGCAGUGGGGAAUUUUGCGCAAUGGGGGAAACCCUGACGCAGCAACGCCGCGUGGAGGAUGAAAUAUCUUGGUAUGUAAACUCCUUUCGAUGGGAAGAUAAUGACGGUACCCAUAGAAGAAGCCCGGCUAAACUUCGUGCCAGCAGCCGC